rnacentral:rRNA from 1 species
GAUGAACGCUGGCGGCGUGCCUAAUACAUGCAAGUCGAGCGAACGGACGAGAAGCUUGCUUCUCUGAUGUUAGCGGCGGACGGGUGAGUAACACGUGGAUAACCUACCUAUAAGACUGGGAUAACUUCGGGAAACCGGAGCUAAUACCGGAUAAUAUUUUGAACCGCAUGGUUCAAAAGUGAAAGACGGUCUUGCUGUCACUUAUAGAUGGAUCCGCGCUGCAUUAGCUAGUUGGUAAGGUAACGGCUUACCAAGGCGACGAUGCAUAGCCGACCUGAGAGGGUGAUCGGCCACACUGGAACUGAGACACGGUCCAGACUCCUACGGGAGGCAGCAGUAGGGAAUCUUCCGCAAUGGGCGAAAGCCUGACGGAGCAACGCCGCGUGAGUGAUGAAGGUCUUCGGAUCGUAAAACUCUGUUAUUAGGGAAGAACAUAUGUGUAAGUAACUGUGCACAUCUUGACGGUACCUAAUCAGAAAGCCACGGCUAACUACGUGCCAGCAGCCGCGGUAAUACGUAGGUGGCAAGCGUUAUCCCGGAAUAUUGGGCGUAAAGCGCGCGUAGCGGUUUUUUAAGUCUGAUGUGAAAGCCCACGGCUCAACCGUGGAGGGUCAUUGGAAACUGGAAAACUUGAGUGCAGAAGAGGAAAGUGGAAUUCCAUGUGUAGCGGUGAAAUGCGCAGAGAUAUGGAGGAACACCAGUGGCGAAGGCGACUUUCUGGUCUGUAACUGACGCUGAUGUGCGAAAGCGUGGGGAUCAAACAGGAUUAGAUACCCUGGUAGUCCACGCCGUAAACGAUGAGUGCUAAGUGUUAGGGGGUUUCCGCCCCUUAGUGCCGCAGCUAACGCAUUAAGCACUCCGCCUGGGGAGUACGACCGCAAGGUUGAAACUCAAAGGAAUUGACGGGGACCCGCACAAGCGGUGGAGCAUGUGGUUUAAUUCGAAGCAACGCGAAGAACCUUACCAAAUCUUGACAUCCUUUGACAACUCUAGAGAUAGAGCCUUCCCCUUCGGGGGGCAAAGUGACAGGUGGUGCAUGGUUGUCGUCAGCUCGUGUCGUGAGAUGUUGGGUUAAGUCCCGCAACGAGCGCAACCCUUAAGCUUAGUUGCCAUCAUUAAGUUGGGCACUCUAAGUUGACUGCCGGUGACAAACCGGAGGAAGGUGGGGAUGACGUCAAAUCAUCAUGCCCCUUAUGAUUUGGGCUACACACGUGCUACAAUGGACAAUACAAAGGGCAGCGAGACCGCGAGGUCAAGCAAAUCCCAUAAAGUUGUUCUCAGUUCGGAUUGUAGUCUGCAACUCGACUACAUGAAGCUGGAAUCGCUAGUAAUCGUAGAUCAGCAUGCUACGGUGAAUACGUUCCCGGGUCU